rnacentral:rRNA from 1 species
UGCCAGACUCCUACGGGAGGCAGCAGUGGGGAAUAUUGCACAAUGGGGGAAACCCUGAUGCAGCGACGCCGCGUGAAGGAAGAAGUAUUUCGGUAUGUAAACUUCUAUCAGCAGGGAAGAAAAUGACGGUACCUGACUAAGAAGCCCCGGCUAACUACGUGCCAGCAGCCGCGGUAAUACGUAGGGGGCAAGCGUUAUCCGGAUUUACUGGGUGUAAAGGGAGCGUAGGCGGUUUAGCAAGUCAGAAGUGAAAGCCCGGGGCUCAACUCCGGGACUGCUCUGGAAACUGCGUCGCUGGAGUACGGGAGGGGCAGGCGGAAUUCCUGGUGUAGCGGUGAAAUGCGUAGAUAUCAGGAGGAACACCGGCGGCGAAGGCGGCCUGCUGGACCGUGACUGACGUUGAGGCUCGAGAGCGUGGGGAGCAAACAGGAUUAGAUACCCGGGUACCG